GGAUGUGAGGGCGAUCUGGCUGUGACAUCUGUCACCCCAUUGAUCACCAGGGUUGAUCUGGCUGAUCUGGCUGGCUAGACGGAUGUCCCAUUACUCCCUCACUGCUUCAUGUGCGUCCCUCCUAAAGCUGCAUGCUUAAGAAGAUGACCUUUCCCUAAUAUAGGAGGACUGGUCUUUGGUCAAGGGUAUACGAGUAGCUGUGCUCCCCCGCUAGAACCUCCACACAAGCUCUCAAGAAAGUGAGUGCUAAUACUUGGGCUGUAGAUAAAGCCAGGUGUUGCUGAGUUUACACAGGCAAUGAUAUUAAUAACUAAUAUUUGUU
rnacentral:snRNA from 1 species